rnacentral:misc_RNA from 1 species
GAUAAGAACGCAGCGAAAUGCGAUAAGUAGUGUGAAUUGCAGAAUUCAGUGAAUCAUCGAAUCUUUGAACGCACAUUGCGCCUCCUGGUAUUCCGGGAGGCAUGCCUGUUCGAGCGUCAUUAAAAUCACUCAAGCUUAGGUUUACCUAUUGCUUGGUCUUGGAGAUGGAAGCCAAUUUAUUGGAAUCCUCUUCGAAAUUCAAUGGCGAAGACCCUUGCUCUCCCAAGUGUAGUAAUAACCUAUGUCACUGAAGGAAGCGAGAAAUCUUCUGCCGUAACCCCCAUAUUUUCUAUGAUUGACCUCGGAUCAGGUAGGGAUACCCGCUGAACUUAAGCAUAUCAAUAAGCGGAGGA